rnacentral:rRNA from 1 species
GUAACGGCGAGUGAAGCGGCAACAGCUCAAAUUUGAAAGCUAGCCUUCGGGUUCGCAUUGUAAUUUGUAGAGGAUGAUUUGGGGAAGCCGCCUGUCUAAGUUCCUUGGAACAGGACGUCAUAGAGGGUGAGAAUCCCGUAUGUGACAGGAAAUGGCACCCUAUGUAAAUCUCCUUCGACGAGUCGAGUUGUUUGGGAAUGCAGCUCUAAAUGGGAGGUAAAUUUCUUCUAAAGCUAAAUAUUGGCGAGAGACCGAUAGCGCACAAGUAGAGUGAUCGAAAGAUGAAAAGCACUUUGGAAAGAGAGUUAAAAAGCACGUGAAAUUGUUGAAAGGGAAGCGCUUGCAAUCAGACUUGUUUAAACUGUUCGGCCGGUCUUCUGACCGGUUUACUCAGUUUGGACAGGCCAGCAUCAGUUUCGGCGGCCGGAUAAAGGCUCUGGGAAUGUGGCCUCCACUUCGGUGGAGGUGUUAUAGCCCAGGGUGUAAUACGGCCAGCCGGGACUGAGGUCCGCGCUUCGGCUAGGAUGCU